AGGAAGAAAGGACGAGAGUUUUUAUUGGCUCCCAAAUGUUUUUGGAAAGAUGAGGACCUAGAUCCUAAUGCUGGACACCAAGAAGACAGCUAAUACAAGGAAACAGGCUGCAGAGACACUCAGAUUUUCCCUGUCACAACUCAGGGCACCACCUGAAGAUAUCACUGAGGACAACAGGAUCCAAGAAACUAUGAUGCUAACAACUGAGGACAACAUGGGCUAAAUGGAUCCACACCUCAAAUGAACUCAUCCAGGAUCCUUAACCUGGGACAGAGGCAUCUUGAUCCUUGYUCUGCAGCAGCACCAGAGGUGGAAACACAAGACUAGCUGUGCUGCAGUUCACUGCUUGGUAAGAAAGAGGUAACCUUUGAAAAAGUGCAAUGGUUGCACUUGACACACAAAAAAAGUGGAAAAGAAAAGGA